rnacentral:rRNA from 1 species
UACGUAGGGGGCAAGCGUUGUCCGGAAUCAUUGGGCGUAAAGAGCGCGUAGGCGGCCCUGUAAGUCCGCUGUGAAAGUCAAGGGCUCAACCCUUGGAUGCCGGUGGAUACUGCAGGGCUAGAGUCCGGAAGAGGCGAGUGGAAUUCCUGGUGUAGCGGUGGAAUGCGUAGAGAUCCGGAAGAACACCGGUGGCGAAGGCGGCCUGCUGGGCAGUAGCUGACGCUGAUGCGCGACAGCGUGGGGAGCAAACAGG